rnacentral:rRNA from 1 species
UACGGAGGGUGCAAGCGUUAUCCGGAUUCACUGGGUUUAAAGGGUGCGUAGGUGGGUCUGUAAGUCCGUGGUGAAAUCUCCGAGCUUAACUUGGAAACUGCCAUGGAUACUAUAGGUCUUGAAUACUGUGGAGGUCAGCGGAAUAUGUCAUGUAGCGGUGAAAUGCUUAGAUAUGACAUAGAACACCAAUUGCGAAGGCAGCUGGCUACACAAAUAUUGACACUGAUGCACUAAAGCGUGGGGAUCAAACAGG